GGAGAAGAAUCCAGCCAGAAACAGCCGAACUUCAGGGGGAAACAAGAAGAAUCCUAGAUGUCUCAAUGAGAUGAAGAAUUGCCUACUGUUUAUCACCCUGACCCAGUCUUUCUCCCCAAGACAAGUUCUGGAAACUAAAAGUCCAUGAUCAAGGCAUCAGCAGAUCAACGUCUGGCUCCAUCUCCUAAUAUCAUCAUAUUGAAGAAAUGAAGCAUAAAACAUGAAACCAUUAACAUGAAAGCAGUGUUGGAAGAAGACAGGAACGUGGAAGAAUAAGACAUAAAGAGAGAGAGAGAGAAUGAGGGAACUAAAGUGUUUUAUAGAGCUGAGAUGCUCAAGAGUUAGCCACCAGCCACAAGUGACUAUUGAAUACUUGGGAUGGGGCUAGUGUAACAAAGGUAAUAAAUUUUUAAUUCUAAUUUAUUUUAAUUAAAAAA
ensembl:lncRNA LINC02462 long intergenic non-protein coding RNA 2462